rnacentral:rRNA from 1 species
CCUACGGGUGGCUGCAGUGAGGAAUAUUGGUCAAUGGCCGAGAGGCUGAACCAGCCAAGUCGCGUGAGGGAAGACGGCCCUACGGGUUGUAAACCUCUUUUGUCGGGGAGUAAAGCGAGUCACGUGUGACUCAUUGAGAGUACUCGAUGAAAAAGCAUCGGCUAACUCCGUGCCAGCAGCCGCGGUAAUACGGAGGAUCCGAGCGUUAUCCGGAUUUAUUGGGGUUAAAGGGUGCGGAGGCGGGUGGUGAAGUCAGGGGUCAAAUUUUGGGGCUCAACCCUCAAAUUGCCAUUGAUACUGGAUCCCUUGAGUACGCGAGAGGUAGGCGGAAUGCGUGGUGUAGCGGUGAAAUGCAUAGAUAUCACGAAGAACUCCGAUUGCGAAGGCAGCAUACCGGCGCGCAACUGACGCUGAUGCACGAAAGCGUGGGUAUCGAACAGGAUUAGAUACCCCAGUAGUC